rnacentral:lncRNA from 1 species
AGGGGGUGAACCGUAGUUUAUAGAAUGAGACAGAGUAGAGGGGGAGAACUGUAGUUUAUAGAAUGAGACAGAGAGAAGAGGGGGUGAACCGUAGCAUAUAGAAUGAGACAGAGAAGAGGGGGUAAACCGUAGUAUAUAGAAUGAGACAGAGAGAAGAGGGGGUGAACCGUAGUUUAUAGAAUGAGACAGAGAGUAGAGGGGGUGAACCGUAGUAUAUAGAAUGAGACAGAGAGAAGAGGGGGUGAACAGUAGUUUAUAGAAUGAGACAGAGAGAAGAGGGGGUGAACCGUAGUUUAUAGAAUGAGACAGAGUAGAGGGGGUGAACCGUAGUAUAUAGAAUGAGACAGAGAGAAGAGGGGGUGAACCGUAGUUUAUAGAAUGAGACAGAGAGAAGAGGGGGUGAACCGUAGUUUAUAGAAUGAGACAGAGAGUAGAGGGGGUGAACCGUAGUAUAUAGAAUGAGACAGAGAGAAGAGGGGGUGAACCGUAGUUUAUAGAAUGAGACAGAGAGAAGAGGGGGUGAACCGUAGUUUAUAGAAUGAGACAGAGAGUAGAGGGGGUGAACCGUAGUAUAUAGAAUGAGACAGAGAGAAGAGGGGGUGAACCGUAGUUUAUAGAAUGAGACAGAGAGAAGAGGGGGUGAACCGUAGAAUAUAGAAUGAGACAGAGUAGAGUGGGAGAACUGUAGUUUAUAGAAUGAGACAGAGAGAAGAGGGGGUGAACCGUAGUAUAUAGAAUGAGACAGAGAAGAGGGGGUGAACCGUAGUUUAUAGAAUGAGACAGAGUAGAGGGGGAGAACUGUAGUUUAUAGAAUGAGACAGAGAGAAGAGGGGGUGAACCGUAGCAUAUAGAAUGAGACAGAGAAGAGGGGGUAAACCGUAGUAUAUAGAAUGAGACAGAGAGAAGAGGGGGUGAACCGUAGUUUAUAGAAUGAGACAGAAAGUAGAGGGGGUGAACCGUAGUAUAUAGAAUGAGACAGAGAGAAGAGGGGGUGAACAGUAUUUUAUAGAAUGAGACAGAGAGAAGAGGGGGUGAACCGUAGUUUAUAGAAUGAGACAGAGAGUAGAGGGGGUGAACCGUAGUAUAUAGAAUGAGACAGAGAGAAGAGGGGGUGAACCGUAGUUUAUAGAAUGAGACAGAGUAGAGGGGGUGAACCGUAGUAUAUAGAAUGAGACAGAGAGAAGAGGGGGUGAACCGUAGUUUAUAGAAUGAGACAGAGUAGAGGGGGUGAACCGUAGUAUAUAGAAUGAGACAGAGAGAAGAGGGGGUGAACCGUAGUUUAUAGAAUGAGACAGAGAGUAGAGGGGGUGAACCGUAGUAUAUAGAAUGAGACAGAGAGAAGAGGGGGUGAACCGUAGUUUAUAGAAUGAGACAGAGAGAAGAGGUGGUGAACCGUAGUAUAUAGAAUGAGACAGAGUAGAGGGGGUGAACUGUAGUAUAUAGAAUGAGACAGAGAGAAGAGGGGGUGUACCGUAGUUUAUAGAAUGAGACAGAGUAGAGGGGGUGAACCGUAGUAUAUAGAAUGAGACAGAGUAGAGGGGGAGAACCGUAGUUUAUAGAAUGAGACAGAGAGAAGAGGGGGUGAACCGUAGUAUAUAGAAUGAGACAGAGAGAAGAGGGGGUGAACCGUAGAAUAUAGAAUGAGACAAAGUAGAGGGGGUGAACCGUAGUAUAUAGAAUGAGACAGAGAGAAGAGGGGGUGAACCGUAGAAUAUAGAAUGAGACAGAGUAGAGGGGGAGAACCGUAGUUUAUAGAAUGAGACAGAGUAGAGGGGGUGAACCGUAGUUUAUAGAAUGAGACAGAGAAGAGGGGGUGAACCGUAGUAUAUUGAAUGAGACAGAGUAGAGGGGGUGAACUGUAGUAUAUAGAAUGAGACAGAGAGAAGAGGGGGUGAACCGUAGUUUAUAGAAUGAGACAGAGUAGAGGGGGUGAACCGUAGUAUAUAGAAUGAGACAGAGUAGAGGGGGAGAACCGUAGUUUAUAGAAUGAGACAGAGAGAACAGGGGGUGAACCGUAGUAUAUAGAAUGAGACAGAGUAGAGGGGGUGAACCGUAGUAUAUAGAAUGAGACAGAGUAGAGGGGGAGAACUGUAGUUUAUAGAAUGAGACAGAGAAGAGGGGGUGAACCGUAGUAUAUAGAAUGAGACAGAGAGAGGAGGGGGUGAACCGUAGUUUAUAGAAUGAGACAGAGUAGAGGGGUGAACCGUAGUAUAUAGAAUGAGACAGAGUAGAGGGGGUGAACCGUAGUUUAUAGAAUGAGACAGAGUAGAGAGGGUGAACCGUAGUAUAUAGAAUGAGACAGAGUAGAGGGGGAGAACUGUAGUUUAUAGAAUGAGACAGAGUAGAGGGGGUGACCGUAGUAUAUAGAAUGAGACAGAGAGAAGAGGGGGUGAACCGUAGUAUAUAGAAUGAGACAGAGAGAAGAGGGGGUGAACCGUAGUAUAUAGAAUGAGACAGAGAAGAGAGGGUGAACCGUAGUAUAUAGAAUGAGACAGAGAGUAGAGGGGGUGAACUGUAGUAUAUAGAAUUAGACAGAGAGAAGAGGGGGUGAACCGUAGAAUAUAGAAUGAGACAGAGUAGAGGGGGUGAACCGUAGUAUAUAGAAUGAGACAGAGAGAAGACGGGGUGAACCGUAGUAUAUAGAAUGAGACAGAGAGAAGAGAGGGUGAACCGUAGUAUAUAGAAUGAGACAGAGUAGAGGGGGUGAACCGUAGUAUAUAGAAUGAGACAGAGUAGAGGGGGUGAACCGUAGUAUAUAGAAUGAGACAGAGUAGAGGGGGUGAACUGUAGUAUAUAGAAUGAGACAGAGUAGAGGGGGAAAACUGUAAUUUAUAGAAUGAGACAGAGAGAAGAGGGGGUGAACCGUAGUAUAAAGAAUGAAACAGAGUAGAGGGGGAGAACCGUAGUAUAUAGAAUGAGACAGAGUAGAGGGGGUGAACCGUAGUAUAUAGAAUGAGACAGAGAAGAGGGGGUGAACCGUAGUUUAUAGAAUGAGACAGAGAGAAGAGGGGGUGAACCGUAGUUUAUAGAAUGAGACAGAGAGAGGAGGGGGUGAACCGUAGUUUAUAGAAUGAGACAGAGAAGAGGGGGUGAACCGUAGUAUAUAGAAUGAGACAGAGUAGAAGGGGUGAACAGUAGUAUUUUGAAUGAGACAGAGUAGAGGGGGUGACCGUAGUAUAUAGAAUGAGACAGAGUAGAGGGGGUGAACUGUAGUAAAUACAGUCACCGAGGCGAGGUAACUGAAAAAGAGAUGAAAAGGAAGAGGAUUGGUUUGAGGGGGAAUGUAGCCGUGAUAGAGAGAUUUGAUAGUGAAUUAUUAAUGCGAUUGGGAUGAAGACUAAGAUUGGGAAUGGUAUUGAGAUCUGUGUUGCGGUGGUGGUGACGGAAUGCUGCGGAUUACAGCUGGG